UGACGGUACCUGACUAAGAAGCUCCGGCUAAAUACGUGCCAGCAGCCGCGGUAAUACGUAUGGAGCAAGCGUUAUCCGGAUUUACUGGGUGUAAAGGGAGCGUAGACGGAACAGCAAGUCUGAUGUGAAAGGCAGGGGCUCAACUCCUGGACUGCAUUGGAAACUGCUGAUCUUGAGUGCCGGAGAGGUAAGCGGAAUUCCUAGUGUAGCGGUGAAAUGCGUAGAUAUUAGGAGGAACACCAGUGGCGAAGGCGGCUUACUGGACGGUAACUGACGUUGAGGCUCGAAAGCGUGGGGAGCAAACAGGAUUAGAUACCCUG
rnacentral:rRNA from 1 species